UACGUAGGGGGCAAGCGUUGUCCGGAUUUAUUGGGCGUAAAGAGCGUGUAGGCGGCUUGGUAGGUCCGCUGUGAAAACUCGAGGCUCAACCUCGAGAUGUCGGCGGAAACCACUUGGCUAGAGUCCGGAAGAGGAGAGUGGAAUUCCCGGUGUAGCGGUGAAAUGCGCAGAUAUCUGGAAGAACACCAAUGGCGAAGGCAGGUCUCUGGGCCGAUCCUGACGCUGAGGAACGAAAGCGUGGGGAGCAAACAGGG
rnacentral:rRNA from 1 species